UCUCUCUUCCGAUCUCACCACAACCUAAUACAAGGUAAACGAAAUAACAUAAAUCAAGCCCUACUCAUCACUAUUAUACUAGGCUUAUACUUUUCCUUACUUCAAGCUUCAGAAUAUUUUGAAACAUCAUUCUCUAUUUCAGAUGGCAUUUAUGGAUCUACAAUCUUCAUAGCAACAGGAUUCCACGGUCUACAUGUAAUUAUUGGAUCUACAUUCCUAAUAGUCUGCCUACUACGACAACU